CUGGGGCUGAGAGGACCACCUCAGCACAGGCUGAUGAUAAAACCUGCAAAACAGAGAGGCAGAGAGGCAUAGAAGUUAUACUGGAGGAGAACCACAUGGAAGAAACGUGGAUGUCUCUGCUCUUCUGAGUCAAAUUCAGAUAAGGAAACGAGGCACAGAGAGGUUUUGACAGUUCUCCCAAGCCGUACAGCUUGUUAAGUCAUAGGGAAAGAUUCAAACCCAAUACUACGUUUUGUUUUGUUUUUACAAAUUGAGCGUUCAAGCCUCGAGUGGAGAGGUCCCUGCAGAUGAGCUGGAAACAGAAGGAUUGGAAUUACAAAUGGAGCCUGAAGCUGGGGCUGAAUGGCUGCCACCUUGUGACCGAAGUUUCAUGGAUGGAUGAGGAGAUGCUUCCUAUGGGUGAGCAGAGGAAGUGGUGUCCCGAGAUGGGGUCUUCCGCUGGUGAAGACUGUUGAGAUGGCAACAAGGCUGCAGGGUAGGACAUAAACUCAGCUGGUAAAGCAGCAGCAGGUUUUGGGCGGAUUCAGUCCAACAGUGAAAGAAGUCCCACCUUGGGUCAAAUGCUAUCAAUCAGUAUCACAUCUU